rnacentral:rRNA from 1 species
GAUGAACGCUGGCGGCGUGCCUAAUACAUGCAAGUCGAGCGAACAGACGAGGAGCUUGCUCCUCUGACGUUAGCGGCGGACGGGUGAGUAACACGUGGAUAACCUACCUAUAAGACUGGGAUAACUUCGGGAAACCGGAGCUAAUACCGGAUAAUAUAUUGAACCGCAUGGUUCAAUAGUGAAAGACGGUUUUGCUGUCACUUAUAGAUGGAUCCGCGCCGCAUUAGCUAGUUGGUAAGGUAACGGCUUACCAAGGCAACGAUGCGUAGCCGACCUGAGAGGGUGAUCGGCCACACUGGAACUGAGACACGGUCCAGACUCCUACGGGAGGCAGCAGUAGGGAAUCUUCCGCAAUGGGCGAAAGCCUGACGGAGCAACGCCGCGUGAGUGAUGAAGGUCUUCGGAUCGUAAAACUCUGUUAUUAGGGAAUAACAAAUGUGUAAGUAACUAUGCACGUCUUGACGGUACCUAAUCAGAAAGCCACGGCUAACUACGU